UUUGAUGGCGACCGGCGCACGGGUGAGUAACACGUAUCCAACCUGCCGAUGACUCGGGGAUAGCCUUUCGAAAGAAAGAUUAAUACCCGAUGGCAUAGUUCUUCCGCAUGGUAGAACUAAUAAAGAAUUUCGGUCAUCGAUGGGGAUGCGUUCCAUUAGCUUGUUGGCGGGGUAACGGCCCACCAAGGCAUCGAUGGAUAGGGGUUCUGAGAGGAAGGUCCCCCACAUUGGAACUGAGACACGGUCCAAACUCCUACGGAAGGCAGCAG
rnacentral:rRNA from 1 species